rnacentral:rRNA from 1 species
AUUGAACGCUGGCGGCAGGCUUAACACAUGCAAGUCGAACGAGUGGUGGACGGGUGAGUAAUGCCUGGGAAUCUAGCUUAUGGAGGGGGAUAACUACGGGAAACGGUAGCUAAUACCGCGUACCAUAGGAUGAGCCCCAGUGGGAUUAGGUAGUUGGUGAGGUAAAGGCUCACCAAGCCGACGAUCCCUAGCUGGUCUGAGAGGAUGACCAGCCACACUGGAAGUUAGACACGGUCCAGACUCCUACGGGAGGCAGCAGUGGGGCAUAUUGCGCAAUGGGGGCAACCCUGACGCAGCCAUGCCGCGUGUAUGAAGAAGGCCUUCGGGUUGUAAAGUUCUUUCGGUGGCGAGGCGUUACCCGCAGAAGAAGCACCGGCUAACUCCGUGCCAGCAGCCGCGGUAAUUC